GUGGGGAAUAUUGCGCAAUGGGCGAAAGCCUGACGCAGCAACGCCGCGUGCGGGAUGACGGCCUUCGGGUUGUAAACCGCUUUCAGCAGGGACGAAGGGUUACCUUGACGGUACCUGCAGAAGAAGCACCGGCUAACUACGUGCCAGCAGCCGCGGUGAUACGUAGGGUGCGAGCGUUGUCCGGAAUUAUUGGGCGUAAAGAGCUUGUAGGCGGUCUGUUGCGUCGGAAGUGAAAACUCAGGGCUUAACCCUGAGCCUGCUUUCGAUACGGGCAGACUUGAGGGAUGUAGGGGAGAACGGAAUUCCUGGUGGAGCGGUGGAAUGCGCAGAUAUCAGGAGGAACACCAGUGGCGAAGGCGGUUCUCUGGACAUUUCCUGACGCUGAGAAGCGAAAGCGUGGGGAGCAAACAGGCUUAGAAACCCUAGUAGUCC
rnacentral:rRNA from 1 species